AUUGAACGCUGGCGGCAGGCCUAACACAUGCAAGUCGAACGAGUGGCGGACGGGUGAGUAAUGUCUGGGAAACUGCCUGAUGGAGGGGGAUAACUACUGGAAACGGUAGCUAAUACCGCAUACCAUCGGAUGUGCCCAGAUGGGAUUAGCUAGUAGGUGGGGUAAAGGCUCACCUAGGCGACGAUCCCUAGCUGGUCUGAGUGGAUGACCGGCAACACUGGAACUGAGACACGGACCAGACUCCUACGGGAGGCAGCAGUGGGGAAUAUUGCACUAUGGGCGCAAGCCUGAUGCAGCCAUGCCGCGUGUAUGAAGAAGGCCUUCGGGUUGUAAAGUACUUUCAGCGGGGAGGCGUUACCCGCAGAAGAAGCACCGGCUAACACCGUGCCAGACGCCGCGGUAAUUC
rnacentral:rRNA from 1 species